ACGGAGGAUGCAAGUGUUAUCCGGAAUUAUUGGGCGUAAAGCGUCUGUAGGUGGUUUAAAAAGUCCAUGGUUAAAACUUGAAGCUUAACCUCAAAGAUGCCAUGGAAACUUUUAAACUUGAGUAUGGUAGGGGUAAAGGGAAUUUCCAGUGGAGCGGUGAAAUGCGUAGAUAUUGGAAAGACCACCGACGGCGAAGGCACUUUACUGGGCCAUUACUGACACUAAGAGAUGAAAGCUAGGGGAGCAAAUGGGAUUAGAUACCCCAGUAGUCCUAGCUGUAAACGAUGGAUACUAGAUGUUGUGUGUAUUGACCCAUGCAGUAUCGUAGCUAACGCGUUAAGUAUCCCGCCUGGGAAGUAUGCUCGCAAGAGUG
rnacentral:rRNA from 1 species